rnacentral:rRNA from 1 species
UACGUAGGGGGCUAGCGUUGUCCGGAUUUAUUGGGCGUAAAGAGCGUGUAGGCGGCCAUGUAGGUCCGGUGUGAAAACUCGAGGCUUAACCUCGAGAUGUCAUCGGAAACCAUUUGGCUAGAGUCCGGAAGAGGAGAGUGGAAUUCCUGGUGUAGCGGUGAAAUGCGCAGAUAUCAGGAGGAACACCGGUGGCGAAGGCGGCAUCCUGGACCGGCAUUGACGCUGAGGCGCGAAAGCCAGGGGAGCAAACGGG